rnacentral:piRNA from 1 species
UGCAGGUACAAUAUAUUUGUU